UUGCUUUUGCACCGUCAAUGCAACGGCAACACAGAAAAAUGCAAAGAAAGUCUUAGUGUGAAACUCCUGCU